rnacentral:rRNA from 1 species
UACGUAGGGUGCAAGCGUUGUCCGGAAUUAUUGGGCGUAAAGAGCUCGUAGGCGGUUUGUUGCGUCGGCUGUGAAAUCCCGAGGCUCAACCUCGGGUCUGCAGUCGAUACGAGCAAACUAGAGUGUUGCAGGGGAGACUGGAAUUCCUGGUGUAGCGGUGAAAUGCGCAGAUAUCAGGAGGAACACCGGUGGCGAAGACGGGGUCUCUGGGCAACAACUGACGCUGAGGAGCGAAAGCGUGGGGGAGCGAACAGG